rnacentral:tRNA from 1 species
AAUGAUAUGCCUGACAAAAGGGUUAUUUUGAUAGAAUAAUUUAUGCACUAUUAUAAUAUGCUUUCAUUU